rnacentral:rRNA from 1 species
UCCAGACUCCUACGGGAGGCAGCAGUGGGGAAUAUUGGGCGAUGGGCGCAAGCCUGACCCAGCAAUGCCGCGUGAAGGAAGAAGGCCCUCGGGUUGUAAACUUCUUUUAUCAGGGACGAAGGAUGUGACGGUACCUGAUGAAUAAGCUCCGGCUAACUACGUGCCAGCAGCCGCGGUAAUACGUAGGGAGCAAGCGUUAUCCGGAUUUACUGGGUGUAAAGGGCGUGUAGCCGGGCCGGCAAGUCAGAUGUGAAAUCCCAAGGCUCAACCUUGGAACUGCAUUUGAAACUGUUGGUCUUGAGUAUCGGAGAGGCAGGCGGAAUUCCUAGUGUAGCGGUGAAAUGCGUAGAUAUUAGGAGGAACACCAGUGGCGAAGGCGGCCUGCUGGACGACAACUGACGGUGAGGCGCGAAAGCGUGGGGAGCAAACAGGAUUAGAUACCCCCGUAC